rnacentral:lncRNA from 1 species
GAUCCAAGCCUCAAGCUAAUAUCUAUUUAUUCCAUUUCGGUUGCUUCUUUGACGUUGAUGCUGAUCAUUGGUACACUUCUGACAGUGUACUGUAGAAGAUACACUGGUACCAGAAGCCAAAAGAGUGACACAAAAGAGAAUAACAUCCAGCAAACCAGCCUAACAGUAGAAAGAUAAAACAAUGUUACGUGUUACCUAUCUUAACGCCA